rnacentral:rRNA from 1 species
GAUGAACGCUGGCGGCGUGCCUAAUACAUGCAAGUCGAGCGAACAGACGAGGAGCUUGCUCCUCUGACGUUAGCGGCGGACGGGUGAGUAACACGUGGAUAACCUACCUAUAAGACUGGGAUAACUUCGGGAAACCGGAGCUAAUACCGGAUAAUAUAUUGAACCGCAUGGUUCAAUAGUGAAAGACGGUUUUGCUGUCACUUAUAGAUGGAUCCGCGCCGCAUUGGCUAGUUGGUAAGGUAACGGCUUACCAAGGCAACGAUGCGUAGCCGACCUGAGAGGGUGAUCGGCCACACUGGAACUGAGACACGGUCCAGACUCCUACGGGAGGCAGCAGUAGGGAAUCUUCCGCAAAGGGCGAAAGCCUGACGGAGCAACGCCGCGUGAGUGAUGAAGGUCUUCGGAUCGUAAAACUCUGUUAUUAGGGAAGAGCAAAUGUGUAAGUAACUAUGCACGUCUUGACGGUACCUAAUCAGAAAGCCACGGCUAACUACGUG